AUUCCACACAAGAAGACUAUGGUCGCUGCCCUCAGCUUCUACCUCAAAAUCUCAUUCCUAAGAGGGCUUCAGAGAACUUGUUCCUCCUUUGUCCCCCUAUUCUCUGGAUUAGAUUUGGUCAAUCCAAUACUGACUGAACAAGGACAGCACACUGACAGGACCAGAGAUGGACCUGGCAGGAAAGCCAGUACUUGUUCAAAGUAACAUGGAAAUGGAGUUUGGGAGUCAGGCUGUCAUCUAUGAAUUCCCAGCCUCCACUCAUACCAGGGGUCCCUGGGGGCCCAUCUGACCUACGCAGCCUGCUUCUUACAUGUACCUGUUGUCACAGGGCCCCUGGAGUGCUGGACUUGUUCAGAGGGACUCUUCUGUUGCUGAGAGGGAAACCACCCUCAGGAAUGUUAAUGGAGUCCCACCAUCACAGCCAGAAGACAGCCACCCUUGCCUGGUCACUGUGUUUUGCAUACAAGAGGGUGUGAUGAUGGUUGACCUGUGACAGUGGCUUCUAUUCUCAAGACUCUACUAUGGACAUACUACCAGAACAUGCCACCUUCAGUUACCUGGGGACCUAGUAUUCUGUCACUGGGAUAAGAGCAUGCUAUAUUGUCCUCUGGAUAAGAAUCAUAGGGGUCUUGGAGGGUGAAAUCCUUAGAAUCCAUUUGUACCUCUUGUCCUAGGGAAGAGGCAAGGGGUGGGCUCAGAAGAAGGCAAGUUCAACAUCCCUCAAGUGGGGGAAGCCUGACCUAUGCCUACAGGGAGCUGGUGAGGGACUCUUGGGGAGUCUACUUUCCUCUGCCAGGCCAUAGGCCAGGCAGUGUCCUGUGACCUCCAUCUCAGGCUCUGUGGUUAGCUUUCAGGCCCCAGAUUCAUGAUUGCUCAUCGCCCAAGAAGAUGGGUCUCCUUAUUUCUUUCAGGGAAACCAAGUUACCAGUGAGCCAUGGCUGCUAGGAGACAGAGUUAGGGCUUGAUUGCACGUAGCCUUAGGCCUGGCCUUGUUGGUAGAUACAGCCACCAAAACCAACACUUCCACUGUCUGGCUGGAAUCUUCGUCGUCUGUCCAACUCGGCCCCUUGAAACCAUGAUCACUACCAGCUAGUGUCUUUCAUGGCAAUCCCUAUCAGACACCCAACCAUUCCCUAUCUGGCCGCCAAAAACCCUACUUUUCUCUUGGGUCUUGACAUAACUGGCCCCACAGACAAGCUGCCAUGUUACUACCCUGACUCUACUUCAGUGAACCUCUGUGAGCCUUGUAAGCAAGGAGGAAGGCAAUGGGGACUGCUGAGUAGAAGUGUUUGGGGAGUGGAGAGAGAGCUUGGAGGAGGAGCAGGCAGCAGGAGUCAGAAAGCUGAGGAGAGGAUUUAAUCUGCCACCCCCUUGCAGAGACCCAACUACACAUUGACUUGAAUUCCUAACUCCCAGAGCCCUUUGCUGUGUACUUUAAAAAGCUGUUGUGUUGGUGGGAGUAUGUUACAGUUGCCAUUGAAAACUAGAAUCUUUUUUUUUAAUAAAAUAAAUACCAGCUUCACUAC
rnacentral:lncRNA from 1 species